UCCAAAGUAUCACCGGUCCAGAAAAAUUCAGUUUUUCAUAGUGCCGUAAAUAACUUUUUAAUGCUUUCGAUGUUUCGUAGAGUGAGAAAACAAAUCAAUUGAAGAAAAGAAAGAUCUAAACUUUCUUCUUCUUCUGCCUCUUCCCUUCAUCUGCUUCAAUUACAAUGGAUCAUAAAAAAUAUGAUCCAAUCGCCAAAGAUAGUGUAACCAAAUAUAUUUCGUCUUCUUUUUCCUCACUUCACCAAUUUCAUUGGAGAUUUCGCAAUAAUGAACUGUUAGAUUGGGUUUUCGAUAUUUUGAAGGAGAAAUUAGACGAAACAUAGACGUAAAGAGAUUGGGAAGAAGCAUUAAUUUUUUUUUUCUUCGUUCUCAAAUCAUACAAUUGAUUUUCAUUCUUAAUGCAAUUUUGAUUAAGAAAGUAACUCAAGAUGAUGAUGAUAUUUAUUAUAUUGCUACAGAAGCUUCCUUCUUUGUUAAUUCCAGAGGUGAAACUUAGUUUACGCAAUCUUGGACUCCUGCUUCUAUUAAAAUCAAGUACUCUCCAAUGAUGAUUUCAAGUUUGGUACAACCCUGUAACUGGCAGAUAUGAGGAUUUGAUGGAUGCUUGAAUUAUUAUCCCUACUAAGGUAAAGAUAGCGUACCGGUGUUUAGGGGGUUUGUCAUGCCUGAAUUUCGACAAAUUGAAACCAUAUACCAGUUGGAUUUUACCCGAACAUGUUUUGUUUCUCAUAUCUAAUUCUACCAUCAGGUUGUGAGAUGUUGUACGGCUAAUAAAGGUAUUAUAAGUGAAUUUUGGAAUGUGAUUUUAAUGACAUGAACAAAGGAGUCUAAGGGAAUUAGGUGAGGACUGUUUUGAGGCAAAAUGACCAAAGUUAGUGUUACCAUAUUUAUAUGAUACUUUAAACACUUCCCUAACCGGUUUGUGCACAUUUUGUUAGUGAAUUGUUAAUGUGCACAUAGUUGUACACAUAUUGAAUGCGUACAUAAUGUACACAUGCAGAUCGUUAAUGUGCACAUAGUUGUACACUUGUUGAUCUUUAAUGUGCACAUAGUUGUAUACCUACCAUACACUGUUUAUCGUUAGCGUGCACAUAUUUGUACACCUAUUGAUCGUUAUAGGGGAAAAAAAGAUAGUGAUAUGAUUGUAGUUAAAUUAAAGAACAUGGUGAUCAGCUGCAUGAGUAAGAGGCUUCAACUUGCUACCUAAAUUGCAUCUUCUUAACGGGGCUUAUCCGUAGGUGUGACAUCGUUACUCGACUCUUUUAGUCAGGAAUCAUUUGUUUGAUGGCUUCGUAGGACUGUGUCAAAUGACGGUGAUAUCAUUUUUUGAGUUGUUGGCUGGUGUUAUAUGUGUCAGAGGAACUAUGUGAACCAUGAAAUUUUGUACUUGUAAAUUUACAUUGGUUUAAGUAGGAAAUUAAUUAUUCUUGUGACAUAUAUUCUUAAAUUUACAUUGGUCUCUUAGGCUCCUGACCUUAUAAUUUUUUGGAAGAAAAAGUAUUAUUUAAAAUUUCGAUGAUCACGGAUUUUAUGUUGGUGUUAUUAGUUUCUCUCUGCAGUGCCAUCUUAUUUUCGAUAAUAAUCACUUGGUGGAUUAUUCAUUUAGUGGAUGGCUUUUCUCUCCAAUUUAUGCUCUUCUGUGAAUUUAUUCUCAUUUUGGGUAGAGUUUGGGCUAUUUUUCUUCUUUCAAUUUUGCAUUUUUCUCAUGGAGUGGGUGCAAUAUGUCGCAUGGGAUAUGAUAUAUGGUAGAAGACCAAUGCCAGUAGGAAUAACAAUGGUGUUGAUGGGUCUGCCAGAUGGCUGAGUUACUCCUGCACCCCCACCGUCUCGGUGAGAUGAUAGAGGCAAUGGCUUAGGUAGAUCACAAGGAAAAAGAGGAUAUAAUGGCGAUGAUGGGGUCGUAGCCACAGGUACUUUUCGAGGGAGCUUAAGAAAGUGGAGAAGCCUAUCACAAGGUCUACGGAGGUUAAUGGUUCAAAUCCACUUGAGUCUCCAUGUCAUGUUAUGUUCAUUUAAUAUGGAUAGCGUUAGUGGUGUUGUCUUUGGAUUCAUUUUCUGGAAUUUUGUAAAUAUGUACAUGUUUGUGCAGUGUAAAUAGAGAUUUUUUAAAAAUUAGAAUUAUAUAGUCAUAUAGAUACUCUUUUUGUAGCUCUCGGAAAGAUUUUGGACAAACGGUUCAAAAAAUAAAUUAUUUUUAUAUUAUUUAAA